AGUGAACGCUGGCGGUAGGCCUAACACAUGCAAGUCGAACGGCAGCACAGUAAGAGCUUGCUCUUACGGGUGGCGAGUGGCGGACGGGUGAGGAAUACAUCGGAAUCUACUUUUUCGUGGGGGAUAACGUAGGGAAACUUACGCUAAUACCGCAUACGACCUACGGGUGAAAGCAGGGGAGCUUCGGACCUUGCGCGAUUGAAUGAGCCGAUGUCGGAUUAGCUAGUUGGGGGGGUAAAGGCCCACCAAGGCGACGAUCCGUAGCUGGUCUGAGAGGAUGAUCAGCCACACUGGAACUGAGACACGGUCCAGACUCCUACGGGAGGCAGCAGUGGGGAAUAUUGGACAAUGGGCGCAAGCCUGAUCCAGCCAUACCGCGUGGGUGAAGAAGGCCUUCGGGUUGUAAAGCCCUUUUGUUGGGAAAGAGAAGCAGCAGGUUAAUACCCCGCUGUUCUGACGGUACCCAAAGAAUAAGCACCGGCUAACUUCGUG
rnacentral:rRNA from 1 species